AUUGAACGCUGGCGGCAGGCCUAACACAUGCAAGUCGAGCGAGCGGCGGACGGGUGAGUAAUGUAUGGGGACUGCCCGAUAGAGGGGGAUAACUACUGGAAACGGUGGCUAAUACCGCAUACUAUCGGAUAACCCAUAUGGGAUUAGCUAGUAGGUGGGGUAAAGGCUCACCUAGGCGACGAUCUCUAGCUGGUCUGAUAGGAUGAUCAGCCAACCUGGGACGGAGACACGGCCCAGAGGCGUACGGAGGCAGGAGUGGGGAAUAUGGCACAAUGGGGGCAAGCCUGAUGCAGCCAUGCCGCGUGUAUGAAGAAGGCCUUAGGGUUGUAAAGUACUUUCAGCGGGGAGGCGUUACCCGAAGAAGAAGCAACGGCUAACUCCGUGCCAGCAGCCGCGGGAAUUC
rnacentral:rRNA from 1 species